CAAAAUUAACUCCAAUUUAUCCCCCAAAUUAACUAAAAAUAGACCUAAAGGUAUAACAAUAGAACCUAUCGAGUGGAUACUAUUAAUUGGGAGGAGACUCCCAGAAGUACGUUUAAGAAAUCAGGUGGUGAGGAAAUCACCUUUGUAGACUACCAGAAGGAGGUCUAACAGAUGAAAUGCAUAAAGACUACAGAGUGAAGAGAGACAUGGCUAUGCAUACAAGGUUGGAUCCAGAAAAAAAGGCAGCAUGAGUUACGAAGAUUCAUGAAUAUUGUACAAAAAAAUAAGAGUGCACAAAAGGAACUCCAACUUUGGGAUUUGAAAUUUGACCCCAACUUCGUGUCCUUCUCAGGAAGAAUUAUGAAAGAAGUAAGAAUUCUUCAAAGAAGCAGAGCGGUAAGACCAUUUCAAAGUGGCCAUGUUUCUUUAUCUCUCUUUUUCUCAGCUUCUUCUUUUUCCAUAAUUUUAUCUUCUAAUUCACCUAUUCUCUCCUCUG